rnacentral:tRNA from 1 species
GCACCCGUAGCUCAGUUUGGAUAGAGUACUCGGCUACGAACCGGGUGGUCGGGGGUUCAAAUCCUCUCGGGUGCG